GGGUGAGAACCAAAUAGUAUCGGGACCCAGCUGCAGUUAGGGACAGAGGACAGUUUUCACACUGUUCCAGCUUCCUCAGGAAGGUCUGCAAAGACCUGAAUUCCUUGCGCCCUGGAGUCUCCAUGUGAAGGCCUGAAGCACCAAAGGCCCUCUUCGCUGGAAUCACGGUGCAAUCCACGGGGAAGCGUCGCUGGGCUGCAUGCAGAGGGGUCAGAGAUGAGACUCGUUCACCCUCCCACGCCCCCGUUUGACAGAGAAGAAACCUGAGAUUCCAAGAGAAACUGAUUUUGUGGCUCUGAAACCUGGCUCUUCCCUCUGCACCUGCUGACCAAGAUCUCAACUUCUGGAAGAGGACACGUUAAGGACUUCAGAUGUACCCCACGAUCUGAACAAUUAUAUUUUUAUUUCAAAAUAAUGUUAUCACAAUCCAAAGAGUGAAAUUAACAGUAAAUA